rnacentral:rRNA from 1 species
GACAGAGGUGCCGAGCGUUAGGCGGAAUCACUGGGCUUAAAGCGUGUGUAGGCGGAUUUGUAAGUACCUUGUGAAAUCCCACGGCUUAACCGUGGAACUGCUUGGUAUACUGCUUAUCUUGGGCCAUCUAGGGGCUAGCGGAACAAACGGUGGAGCGGUGAAAUGCGUAGAUAUCGUUUGGAACGCCAAUGGUGAAAACAGCUAGCUGGGGAUGUGCCGACGCUGAGACACGAAAGCCAGGGGAGCAAACGGG